rnacentral:rRNA from 1 species
AGAGCGAACGCUGGCGGCAGGCCUAAUACAUGCAAGUCGAGCGGGUGUAGCAAUACACCAGCGGCAGACGGGAGAGUAACACGUGGGAACGUGCCCUUCAGUUCGGAACAACCCAGGGAAACUUGGGCUAAUACCGGAUACGUCCGUAAGGAGAAAGAUUUAUCGCUGAAGGAUCGGCCCGCGUCUGAUUAGCUUGUUGGUGGGGUAAUGGCUCACCAAGGCGACGAUCAGUAGCUGGUCUGAGAGGAUGAUCAGCCUCACUGGGACUGAGACACGGCCCAGACUCCUACGGGAGGCAGCAGUAGGGAAUAUUGGACAAUGGGCGCAAGCCUGAUCCAGCCAUGCCGCGUGGGUGAUGAAGGCCCUAGGGUUGUAAAGCUCUUUUGUGCGGGAAGAUAAUGACGGUACCGCAAGAAUAAGCCCCGGACUAACUUCGUGCCAGCAGCCGC